CUUCGCUUCGCUUCGCUGUUCUAACAACAAACCUAUUUUCAGCUUCUCUCUCUCUCUCUCUCUCUCUCUCUCUCUCUCAACUGUAACAACGACACAACACGCCCAUCGAGGCAGAAGCUCCAAGAAAAGCAAAAUAAUCAAGAAAAUCUAGGGUUUCUCAAUUCUCUCUCGAUCUGUGUCUGUCUGUCUUCCUUCCCUCCAAGACACUGGGGCCCUUCCCGCGGAAUGCUAUUCUCUUUUUUUCCCGAGAAAGCGGUGGUAAAUCUUCUUCCUUUCACGUUCCUCUUGUUCGGCUUCGGUCUUGAAGAUUUCAUUGCUUUUCUCGGAUUGACGUUGACGCGGGAAGAUCUCCACCUCCAUUUCCCAGCACUUGCCGAGGGGCGAGGUUCUUGUUUCCUUCAUUUGGGUCCCUUUUUUGACGUCUGCUACGGAGAUUAUCGGCUUACGGAUCUGAGAGGAAUUGCUGGUGGGUGGAGUUAAAGAGGGAAGGAAAAUUGUCGCCGACGAAUCUAGUAUCAAGAGAGGUGUAAUUGGAGAGAUCCAUUUCUCUGAAUAAUUUGUUUUGGAUUGCGAGGUGAAGUAGUUCUUCAAAUUUGGAAUACUUUUGGGGUUUAAUGCUCCUAGUUUAUGGAGUCAGAAGCGCUCGUACCUGUCAGAGAUUUAGCCCAAUGUUGUAGUUGCGGAUGUAGUUGCUCUUCGUUGGGCACUUCUUAUGGAACUUGGCUUCGUUCAGUGAAACGAAAAUACGAUGAGUAUGAAGAUGACAAUAGAUUCUUUGUACCCGGGUUGGAAAUCACAUCUGUGGCGAGAGUUCAAGCUGAGAACGAGAUUAUCGCGCUGCGUGAAAUGGUUGGCAAUCAACAGCAGGUUAUAGAAGAGUUGUCUGCUGAACUGGAUGAGGAGAGGAAUGCCUCUUCGUCGGCUGCAAAUGAGGCCAUGUCCAUGAUUUUGAGGUUGCAGAGGGAGAAGGCAGAGAUUCAAAUGGAAGCACGGCAAUUCAAGCGUUUCGCAGAGGAGAAGAUGGGACAUGAUCAACAGGAGCUGACAGCACUGGAGGAAUUGUUGUACAAGAGAGAGCAAGCAAUUCAAUCCCUGACGUGUGAAGUGCAGGCUUAUAAGCAUAGAAUGAUGAGUUAUGGGCUUACUGAGGCAGAGGCGGAUGGUGAGAGGAGUCGUGGUUAUAGCCGGAGCCAGAGCAUGCUUGAAAACUUUGAUAAUCAAUUGGAAUAUCAUCCGUAUGAUUAUCCUCCCUUGAGAUGCAAUUUAAAUGAGAAUUAUGGUCCUUUAGAAGGUGAGAAUGAUGACACUGAUGUCGAGAAAUAUCCAUUUGGCGAGACUCCUCGUGGUCGGGAGAAUCUGAGAGACUUGGAGUAUAGAAUUCGCCAAAUGGAGAGAAGUACUAGCAGUAAUCAGUUGGAUGGCGAUCUCCCUGGUGCAAUAAACACCCUAGAGAAAGUCACGGUUGGUCAAUCUCCUCAAAGGCCAAGGCACCUGAGGAGGUUUUCUAAUGACAGUUCAAGUUCCUUUCUAGGACUGGGAAGGGAUACUGGUCCUGAAUUGGCUAAAGAUUCUCCACGACCCAACAUUAGCAUUAAGAGAAUGGAGUAUAUUUCUCGAAAAGAGGAUUACUCUAACUUGAGAACACUGGACAGAACAUCAGAACCUGGAGAUGAUGCGAGCGAUAGAAUUUAUACCAUUGACUCUGUUCAUAAUGGUAUGACAGAGCCCAAACCAGUAGCUGGGAUCUGUGAUGAUUAUAUGACUACUCCACGGGAAUCGAUGAAUCGAACUGAAAUUGGAGAUCCUGACGUUGUGAAGCUCUAUAUGAGGCUUCAGGCCCUUGAGGCUGACAGGGAAUCGAUGAGGCAGGCAAUCAUUUCGAUGCGUACGGAUAAAGCGCAGCUGGUAUUAUUGAAAGAAAUAGCUCAACAUUUGUGCAAGGAAAUGUCUCCAGAAAGACGGAUGCCUGUGGAAAAGCCAUCGGUCCUUGCAAGCUUUUCCUUUAUGUCGGUUUUUAAGUGGAUCGUGUCCUUUGUCUUUUGGAGGAAGAAGGCUCGUAGAAGCAAGUAUAUGUUUGGAUUAUCAGCAAGCAAUAUCGGUUUGCUGUUGGCUUUGGAUAAAAGUGCCCAAAUCAGGCCGGGGAGAUGUCUUACAAGUACGCAAGUUUGAAAGCAGUUUUUGGAGUCUGUGUACGUAUUGCAAGCUUGUGCUCAUAUAUGGGAAGUGGAUUGAGUAAGUCUGCUUUUCAUGGCUUCCUUCUUCAUGCCGAAUUUGGAUGGCUUUGUGCAGUGUUAGUUUGUGUUAUUUAUUUUCUCGAGAUCUAGAGAUUGAGUUGCUGCUUGGUGAGUGAAUCACAGAUACUGCGUAAGCACAUGCUUGCCCAUAUGAUUUGUUGGAUUUCAACUCUGAGGCCUUUGUCGGGCACAGAGAAGUAUGGACGAGAUUAUUCUGAUUAAUGGAACGUUUUGCAAAGUUACACAGCCAUAAAUUUCACGAUGGCACCUUUUGUCAUGAAGUGCUGAUACGGCAUAACUUCUGUGAAAGAGGAGGGAAACUUCGCGCACUGACGAAUUGCAUCCACAAGAGCACGAACCCGAAUCCGAAGAUUCCGAACCCAGUACCUUCAUUCUUACAAGAUCGGAUGGUGUUUGCCUCUUUGUCCUGUUCUGGGGUGUUUCCAAAGUAACGUCAUGGACAAGAGGAGACGUUUCAUGAUAUACAUGGUUCUUGUUUUCUUGCCGGACGAGUGUUGGAUUGCCCAUGUUGCAUGUACUGGCCUGUUGGUUGAUGCUCUGCUGUAGUUAGGAGCCUUUUCAUUUUUUUUUUUUACUAGUCAUUUAACUACGCAAACCCUGUACAUUUC